AUCAAGUCGACCACAAUUAUCCGCGGUUGAGAUGCGAAGCGAACAGUCGAAAGGAAUCCACAUUCGUGUUCUAACGGAGUAGAAAGUCAGUAAUUCGCAUCAGCGAGGAGUUUAGAAAUAAAGUUGAAAAAUGGCAGCGCUCCUCGUUUCGUUGCCGCUGCAAAUCGCCUGUCAAAUAAUGUGCGGAACAAAUUCAACCAACAAUAAUAUAAACUGCUCAACACGCGCCGUUGUCCAAAGGAUACGUAGCCUUUCCGGAUAUCGGGCGCGCCUUCAAAUCGUAUCACGAUAAAGAAGUGACGUGGGACGAAGCACGGAGACGAUGCAUCGAAAACGGCGCCAAUUUGGCAGUAAUCGAUUCGUUGACCACGCAAGAUUACAUUAUGAAAGUUAAACCAGCCAUGUCUAGCGCUCACGUUGGGAUUCACAGAUUUUUCAACGGGGAAGAAUGGACGAGUGUCAAGAAUGGUCUUCCCGUGUCUUUGGUUCCAUGGGCUCCCAACCAACCGUUCGAGGGUGCCGACUUGAAAUGUGGGGGGAUGUGGCACGACGGAAGAGGACUUUUUUCCGAAACGUGCACCGACAAACGACACUUCCUUUGCGAGAUAUCGAUACCAAAGGAGAACGUUUAGCUGCGGCGAAUACUUGUAAUUUCAGACCGAAUUGUAUAUUCGUAGUUGGCAGAGGAAUUGCGACAAACUACUGCGAUAAACAAGCCAGUUACUUGUGUGAAAUUUUUCCAUUUUUACUUAAACAAUAAAAUAUCCUUCGUCUUUCAAACUAUUUUUUUUUUUUCCACGGUUUAAUAAUCCAUUUAUUUUUAUUUUAUUCUUAUGCAACACUCGAUAAGCGAUACUCGGAUUCUUCGCACGGGGUUAUCUGUCGGUUCGAGAUACGAAAAGUCAAAGGUGGAGAAUAUCUUACGUAUAAAACAUCGACAGAUCGUCGUCAGCGGGAGUAAACGCAGAAGAAACGUCGAGUCGGUCGGUACGAAGUUGAAUAAUAAACUCGAAAAAUGGCAGCGCUCCUCGUUUCGCUUCCGAUGCAUCUCGCCUGCCAGAUAAUGUGUGCCGAUAAUUCUACCAACGGAAAUGUAACUUUUGUUCAAAAUACGUCUACCCGUAAGCAAAACAGUUCUCCGUUGCCCGAGGGGUACAUAUCCUUCCCGGAUAUCGGUGUCGCCUACAAGUUGCAUGACAGGGAAUUGGUGUUGUGGAAUGAGGCUCGAAGACGAUGCAUAGAAGAUGGCGCUACCUUGGCGGUGAUCGAUUCGUUGAAAAAACUGGAAUACGUAAAGAAAAUGAAACUAGACAGCCAUCAUUUGCACAUUGGCAUUCACAGAUUUUUCGACAGGGAUGAAUGGACGAGUGUCAAGACUGGUAAGGGUUCAAAUUCACUCGUCAUCAUCGUCUCGUCAAACUCGCGGCAUGUUCGGCGCCUGUUACAGAAACCCUGGAAUAAAAGUAUCGAUUUCAACAUCGACGAAAACUCGCGAAACUUCAACGCUCGUUUCUGGAAUCGUAAAGGUUCGAGGUCCGUUUAGUGCUACGAUGUAAACGUUUGUCUGUCACCAGGUCUUCCCGUGUCCUUCGUUCCAUGGUCGUAUAAUGAACCGACCAAUGAAAAGGACCAAUACUGCGUAAUGAUGUGGAGCAACGGAAGUGGACUUGCUGCAGCAAAUUGCUAUAAAAACACCAAGCACUUUAUUUGCGAGAUUCCGAUAUGAACGGACAACGAUAAGUAAUUCCUAUGAUUUGAUUGGUAGGAUUUAUCGUAUCUUUACCGACAAUUCUAUAUGUAUACCUACUCACAGCUCGUUAAUACGCUUGUAAAAAUCACAAUUAUCUCUGGAAUAAAUAUUCCAAACACAAAUUGCA